rnacentral:rRNA from 1 species
CCUACGGGAGGCAGCAGUGGGGGAUAUUGCACAAUGGGGGAAACCCUGAUGCAGCGACGCCGCGUGUGGGAAGACGGCCCUCUGGAUUGUAAACCACUGUCCCCAGGGACGAAGAUGACGGUACCUGAGUAGGAAGCUCCGGCUAACUACGUGACAGCAGCCGCGGUAACACGUAGGGACCGAGCGGUGUCCGGAUUUCCUGGGUGUAACGGGAGCGUAGGCGGGGAUGCAGGUUGGGUGUCAAAACUACCGGCUCAACUGGUAGUCGCACUCAAAACUGCAGCUCUUGAGUGAAGUAGAGGCAGGCGGAAUUCCUAGUGUAGCGGUGAAAUGCGUAGAUAUUAGGAGGAACACCAGUGGCGAAGGCGGCCUGCUGGGCUUUUACUGACGCUGAGGCUCGAAAGUGUGGGGAGCAAACAGGAUUAGAUACCCUAGUAGUC